rnacentral:pre_miRNA from 1 species
CAGAGUCCCAGGCUUGUUUUAAGUUGCCUGUGAUUGUUGGAAAGAGCACAGGCAGCUAAAGCAAGUCUGGGAAUCUG